GAGGGGCCUGCGUCCUAUCAGCUAGUUGGUAGGGUAACGGCCUACCAAGGCAACGACGGGUAGCUGGUCUGAGAGGAUGAUCAGCCACACUGGCACUGGAACACGGGCCAGACUCCUACGGGAGGCAGCAGUGAGGAAUUUUGCGCAAUGGCCGCAAGGCUGACGCAGCAACGCCGCGUGGGUGAUGAAGGCCUUCGGGUCGUAAAGCCCUGUCAGGUGGGAAGAACAGCAUCUUUUCGAAUAGGGGGGAUGUUUGACGGUACCACCAGAGGAAGCACCGGCUAACUCCGUGCCAGCAGCCGCGGUAAUACGGAGGGUGCGAGCGUUAUUCGGAAUUACUGGGCGUAAAGCGCGUGCAGGCGGGACGGUAAGUCUGAUGUGAAAGCCCCGGGCUCAACCCGGGAAGUGCAUUGGAAACUGCUUUUCUUGAGUACUGGAGAGGAAGGGGGAAUUCCCGGUGUAGAGGUGAAAUUCGUAGAGAUCGGGAGGAAUACCAGUGGCGAAGGCGCCCUUCUGGACGGUUACUGACGCUGAGACGCGAAAGCGUGGGGAGCAAACAGGAUUAGAUACCCUGGUAGUCCACGCCGUAAA
rnacentral:rRNA from 1 species